UGCACUUGCCGCGAUGUCCGAGUCCUUCGCGGUUUAUGGAGAAUGGUGCUGCUUAGCUUUACAAAAAGAAGCAACAAGAAACGGUUCCCGUGGAACCUGUUUUUAAUUUUCGUUACUUCGAGAGGCAAGGUCGGCAAAAUAACCUUUCACUCCAAGACGUAGGCGUGUCCAAAUGAGAAGCUGCUGCUCUUGUUUAACACUGCGAGAGCCGGCCGUCAUUUAGAUCCUGAAGACUGUCGCGAAACCGAAACUCACGUCAAAAGGAUUUUUUCGCAUGCGUUCAUGUGACGUUCCGACUGAAAAGAUGCAUUCUUCCUUAAUGAUGUUGAAUUUAGAAUAAGGGACGACACGAACUUCUAGACGUUUGUCUUACACUCUACUUUUAAUGGAACUUGAAGUUGACCUGCUGUUUCUUACGGUAAAUCAUUGAUUGCAACAAUAAGACCAUCGUAACCUUCUUCUUCGCCACUUAUUUCACCUACCUGAGAAGGCAGAACGACAAGAUCAGCUUCAUAAGCAUCAUCUUAGCGUACCAUAGCAAGAGCUUCUUCUGAAGUUAAAUAAACUUCUUUUAGCAUAUUUCAAUUACAGAAUAAAACUUUUGCAAAAUAAACUCAUUAUCUCCGUAAAUAUUAAAAAUAAAAAUAUAUAUUUGUAUAAUAAGAAUAUAUGAACAUGUAAGCAAAUUUUAGUGAAUAAAGGUUAUGAAUU